UUGAAACACCAACGAUUGAGAAGACCAAUUUAUUCUAUCACACCAGCGAUUCUCGAGAUUAGAGCUUGAACCAACCACACAAAUCCGGCAGCUCUGCGUUUCAAUAAGCUUCCAUUUCCGGCCGGCUGUCCGAGACAGAAAGAGAUGACAACGAUACGCCGAUUUUACUUCAACGAUCUUCUUCGUUUCACUUCCGUCAAUCUCGAUCAUUUAACUGAAACCUUUAAUAUGUCAUUCUACAUGACGAAUUUAGCACGAUGGCCCGAUUAUUUUCAAGUAGCUGAAGUGAAGGCCCCGGCAAACGAAUAAUGGGUUACAUUAUGGGGAGGUGAGUCUUGGCAUGGCCAUGUAACAGCAGUUACUGUUGCACCUGAAUAUCGUAGGCAGCAGCUUGCUAAGAAACUAAUGAACCUUCUUGAAGAAAUCGGUGAUAAAAUGUAAGAUUGGUGUGCAAUUUAUGAAUUUAAUGUUCCCUUGAUUGGGAUAUUUCUCUCUUCUGGGUAUUUUUACAAUCAAUUGGGGUAGCUUUUGCUUGCAGUUUGCAUGUACUACGCAUUUUUAUGGCAUUACAAGAUGAGGAAUUACCAAAGUGCUAUCCUUUUCAAUAGAAUUUCAAGGGAAGAGUACUAGAUUUGAAAUUAG